AAGGCUUUAAGUUAAUCAAACUAAUAGCCUUCAAAGCUAUCAAUAUAAGAACUAUCUUUUAAGCCUUA
rnacentral:tRNA from 1 species